rnacentral:rRNA from 1 species
AUUCCACGUGUAGCAGUGAAAUGCGUAGAAAUGUGGAGGAAUACCGAUGGCGAAGGCAGCCCCCUGGGAUAACACUGACGCUCAAGCACGAAAGCGUGGGGAGCAAACAGGAUUAGAUACCCUGGUAGUCCACGCCCUAAACGAUGUCUACUAGUUGUCGGGUCUUAAUUGACUUGGUAACGCAGCUAACGCGUGAAGUAGACCGCCUGGGGAGUACGGUCGCAAGAUUAAAACUCAAAGGAAUUGACGGGGACCCGCACAAGCGGUGGAUGAUGUGGAUUGAUUCGAUGCAACGCGAAAAACCUUACCUACCCUUGACAUGUACGGAAUCCUUCAGAGAUGAGGGAGUGCUCGAAAGAGAACCGUAACACAGGUGCUGCAUGGCUGUCGUCAGCUCGUG